CCGUCUGACUCUGAAACCAGAACCAGGUUCUGCUGAAGGACGGAGGCUAGAACAGGAAGUUCUUCAGCGGACGGGAAGUUCAGGAAUGUUCUGAACUCCGGAUGUGGAGAUGAAGAGGAAACAUGGAGACAGAAGUGAUGACGACUCUCUCUGAUCAGAUGAAUGAAGGCCGAUCAUCCGGAUCAUCUGAAUCUCUUCCGACCUCCUGGAUCUUCUGGACUUCUGGAUCUCCUCUAAUCUUCUGACCUCCUGGACCUCCUCUGACCUCAUGAAUCUCCUCUGAUCUCCUGGACCUCCUCUGAUCUCCUGGACCUCCUCUGAGCUUCUGGACCUCCUCUGAGCUUCUGGACCUCCUCUGACCUCCUGGACCUCCUCUAAUCUUCUGGACCUCCUCUGACCUCCUGGACCUCCUCUGACCUCAUGAAUCUCUGAUCUCCUGGACCUCCUCUAAUCUUCUGGACCUCUUCUGACCUCCUGGACCUCCUCUGACCUCAUGAAUCUCCUCUGACUUCCUGGACCUCCUCUGACCUCCUGUGACCUCCUGGACCUUCUCUGACCUCCUGGGCCUCCUUUGAUCUCCUGGAUCUCCUCUGACCUCCUGGACCUCCUUUGACCUCCUGGACCUCCUCUGACCUCCUGGACCUCCUGUGACCUCCUGGACCUCCUCUGACCUCUGUCUCCUUGCGUCCAGAGUUUCAGUUUGUUGAUCCAGACUCACGUUAGACCCACAGAAUCCCACCUUGGAUAAGGUUCUGACCCGGACUUUACAGUCUUAAUUGUAGCUCCGCCCCCACCGUGACCUGACGGUGGAUCUCGCGAUAAUUCAUGUCCUUUAGUGACUUCAAAACUAACUAUAGAUUUGCGACAGAAACCUCAGAUUUAAUCCGCAUCAUAAUCCGAUCCUUCAAACCGCAGAUUAGCAGCUAAUAUCCCAUAAUAAUCCCGCCGCUGCUGCUGAGACAGGUGGCUAAUAGCUAGCUAGCUAGCAUGGGCUGGAGAGGCUCACCUGUUGCUUCAGCUCACAGUAACACCUGCUGUUUACCUUGAAGCGGACGGUCAUGACGCAAAGAACGUCCCGUGACGUCACGCCUCCUCCAUGACGCGGACGUUCACCAGCAGUUCACGAGGACUAACUAACUAACUAACUAACCCGAGCGGCUCGCUAACUAGCUGCUCCGGUGGACUCGAAGCGCCAAGCCGCCAGCGUUGCCAUGGCAGCUAGUGCGCAGGCGCGGUGGCUGCAGGAAGUUGAAGGAAACGUUCUCAGAUUUCACAAAAUAAAAGUCCUAAAAGUACGAUUACAA